AGCGCUAUAUUUAAACCAAUGGGAUGGACCUUUUCCCCCAUUUCUAGGUUAUGCUGUAGUGCUAAAGAAUUUCCCUGGGCUCUUCUUCCCCACACACAGCUGACUGCCAUUUGGCUGUUGCUUUGUGGAGUGAAGGAACACAG
rnacentral:snoRNA from 1 species